AUCCCAGCACUUUGGGAGGCCAGGGCAGGCAGAUCACCUGAGGUCAGGAGUUCAUGACCAGCCUGGCCAAAACAGUGAGACUCCAUCUCUACUAAAAAUACAAAAAUUAGCUGGAUGUGGUGGCACAUGCCUGUAAUCCCAGCUACUUAUGAGGUUGAGGCAGGAGAAUUGCUUGAACCCGGGAGCUAGAGGUUGCAGUGAGCCAAGAUGGUGCCACUGCACUUCAGCCUGGGCCACAGAGCUAGACUCUGUCUCUAAAUAAAUAAAUAAAUAAAUAAAAUAAUCUAGGUGAUGGAAUAAGAUGUACAACAAACCCCCAUGACACGAUUUACCUAUGUAACAAACCUGCACUUGUACCCUUGAACUUAAAAAAAAAAGUUAAAUAGAAAAUAAAUAAAUAAAAUAAAAUCUAAUGGAAAAUUGGAUAAAAAAGAAAGAGCAGUGUUUUCAACAACACUCCCCCAUGUUAUCACACUGAGCAUUGUUUCCAAAUUGAUUAUGUUCUUUAAUCAAACACCACACUAGCAUUCUUAAAAGCACUGAGAACAAAGCACUAAAGAGUUCUCUGCCACAGUUUGGCUUUUCUUUCAAUGUCUAAUCAAAUCUCACAUAUUUCCUACUGUCUCCCCAGAGGAGUUCUGGGAACUUUUCUUUAUAUUCUCAUCACAUAACCCACCCCAAGAGACAGGAAGGGAGAAAGGAGGAUGGAAGAAACGAAAGGAGAGAGGAAGGGAGGAAACAGGAUAAAGAAAUGCAGAUGGGAGAAGGUUAGAAUGAAGGAGCCAGCAUCACUGGACUGAAUGUCCCUGCAUCCCUGAUCUGUUCAGUGGGACACAGGCAGCCAGGGAGGCAGCCCAGGAGCCUCAGAGACCGCUGGUAGUGGUGUCCUCCUCAGCACUUCUUCCCUGCCUCCCGCACACCUGAGGGUCAGGCCCUUGCAUCUAAUUGGACAGCUGGGUUGGUGAACGUGGCCUGUUCUGCCAGCCGCCUCGUCGGCCACAGUGACAGCUGUAUCACUUCCCUGAUGUGAGUGGGCGCUGAGAAGCGUUGACACAUGAUCAACUUCCCUCUAAUAUCCUUCAACCAACCUGACAGUUGUCCGGCAGGGGCUAGUCAGCUCGCCUGCCAGCCCUCACCGAGGCAUUGUGGGACAGCUUCCUAAGGAAUACAGUCAGGAGAGACUUCAAAUGAGGCCUUUGUUUUCCCCUAGUGUGCUAACUGGGGAAUUGAUUCAAAUCCUGAGGGUGAUGGCUAUGAUAGGGGCUGCUACAUAGGGCCUGGAGGAAUGUAGGUAACAGCAAAUGAUAGCAUUUGAGAGGGCCACUCCAUCUUGCUCUAAGACUAGCUGGGUGGUCUCGUCGAUGCAGGAUGUGGUUCAGAGGAAGACUUCUAUCAGGGAUUUGCAGUUCCAUAGCAACACACGCUUUUUUUUUUCUAUUCUCACAUAUCUUUCCAUCAUGUAGUUUAAGGUGGAAGAAACACUCUCUCGUACCAGGAAAAGUUUGGAAGCCUCAAAGUUGUAAGCAGAAACGUCUCUGUCUUUCCCGAUGACAGCCACAGUCUGAUGGCUCUAUCCUGCUGAGCAUCUUGUCAUCACCCCUGCCAAGUCUCUUAGCCAGGGGGCCCCUCUCUCUCGCUCACCCACUAGCAGGAAGGACAAGGCUAAGUGGGGAUCCAGGAAGCAUGGGUUCACUUAAGGCUCUGUCGCUAUGCUAAGUGAGGCCAGAGACAUCUUGCAGCAUUGAUGAAGAAUCUGGCAUCCAGUGACUGUCAUUCUUUCCUCUGGUUCUGACAUUCUCCAGAUGUCCAUGAGCAGGAGACGAGGACAGCAGCAAACUCCAGCUUAACAUAAGAUGGAGAGGCUGUUGGGAUUUCUGAGGGACCAGAGAUCUUUUGGCUGCAACUCAGAGGAGGGUUUGGGAACUGGAAGUCAGAAAUCAGGAGUUCGAGACCAGCCUGGUGAAGCCCCAUCUUUACCAAAAAAAAAAAAAAAAAGAAAGAAAGAAAAUACCAAAAAUGAGCCAAUGUCUACAGGGCUUCGCUCCCUCUAGAGGCUUCAGGGGAGGACACUUCCUUGACUCUUCCAGCUCCUGGUGGCUUCCAUGUUCCCUGGCUUGUGACUGCAGAGUUCCAACCUCUGCCUCCGUCUUUGCCGGGCCUUCUCCUCUUCUCCCACGGAGGCAGAGAAGCGUGUCCUCUCCUCUUCAGUCUCUUACAGGGACACUUGUCAUUGGAUUUAGGAUCCACCUGGAUAUUCCAGAAUGGUCUCAUCUUGAGAUCCUUAACUUUAAAGCACCUGCAAAGACUCUUUAACAAAGAAGUUACAUUUGCAAGUUCUGGAACAUGCUCAUAUCUUUUUGGAGGCCACUACUAAACCCCCUACAAUUCUCUUUACAUAAUUUCCCAAAACUGUUUCCCAAAAAGUUGCCAGCAGUAACCAAAUUCCAGAAGUGAAAGCAUGACCCUGGCCCAUGGUGACAAACCCGCUUUCUACCAAGUUGAUCACCACCUAACUGUUGAUUCUAGCCCUUCUAAUCUUUAGCCUGUGGUAGCAAGCCAGGUACAAUUUGGCAUUAAGAUCUAAGAAUGGCCAAAGUCUCUCAUUGCACGCAGUGCUACCCUGAUGCAGUGGAAACUACACUAAACAAGCUCCGUGGGAUCCUUGGGCCUUCUCCCGUCUCCAUGACUCAUUGGCUGGGAGACUUUGGAAAAUUUUCUCUGCUUCUGUGAACUUCAGUCUCCCUAUCUAUAAAAUGAAGACUAGAUUAGAACAGGGGUUGAUAUGCUAUAGCUUUUUUUUUUUUUUGGAGAUGGAGUCUCGCUCUGUCACCCAGGCUAGAGUGCAAAUAGCACAAUCUCGGCUCACUAGAACCUCCACCUCCCGGGUUCAAGUGAUUCUCCUGCCUCAGCCUCCUGAGUAGCUGAGAUUGCAGAUGCCUGCCACCACACCCGGCUAAUUUUUGUAUUUUUAAUAGAGAUGGGUUUUCACCAUGUUGGCCAGGCUGGUCUUGAACUCCUGACCUCAGGUGAUCCACCUGCCUCGGCCUCCCAAAGUGCUGGGAUUACAGGCGUGAGCCACUGUGCCUGGCCAGCCUGCUUUUUUAAAUAAAGUUUUAUUGGAACCCAGCCUUGUCCAUUUAUUUACAGAUCGUGUAUGGGGGCUGUCAUGCUGCAAGAGCAAAGCGGUUGCAACAGAGACAGAAUGACUCAGAAAAUGGAGAAUAUUUGCUGGCUAGCCCUUUACAGAAAAAGCUUGCCACCCCCUAGACAAGUACAGAGCUCUGUAAAGGGCCCUUCUAGCUGGGUUAUUUUGUGUUACUAUGGACCAGUUCCUCAUUUGAGCCCUGCCUAAAAUCUGAUGGUGGCCUGAGGAGCUGGCUAUGGAGAGGGAGCAGGACUGAAAAAAAGGCUCCAUCAGCCUCACAGUACCAGCAUUGCCCCUCCCCGGACAUCCUUGUGUGCACCGUGCUUCCGCAUUGCCUGCGCUCCCAGAAUUUAGCUCCCCCAGAUCUUCCACCCUGUUCUCCCCUUGGGGCUUGCCCCCUGCAACGGGCAGGAAAUGCAGACAGCCAGGGGACUUGUGGGUCCCUUUAAGGCCUUGAGACCUGGGGAAAUCCCCCAGUUCUCAGCCACCUAAGGACAACUCAUUCUCCCAGUCUAAGGGCCGAGUCAUUCUCACUUUGCUUCUAUCACUGUCCAGAUUCCAGCAAAAUACACCCUUCCACAGUCAAACCUCUACCUCCUUCAUUCUCCUCUCUUAUUUGUUAAACAAAUCCUGAUCUGCCUUUUUAGGCUGCUCUUGAAUUUUAUGGCAACAUAUAAUAAACAUCUGACUGCUUUUAUUUCUAUUUAACUUUUAUCUUGAAUGUCUCUGCUGUUUCAAACCAAAUAUUUACAGCAUCACACAGCCGCUGCAAUUUCAUUCCUCACCAAUACUGUCACUCCCUCCUGCUUGCACUCACCAGCCCCGUAGAGAGGCCGGGAAUGUUGGGGCGAAUGGUCUCUUGUGCCCCCACAGCAGGGCUUCCAGACUGGAUCUCUGAGUCACUGGACUCCCGGGAGAGCAGAUGGCUUUCCUGGCAGCCUGGCCCUCAGCUCGGAGUCAGGCCAUCUCUGGUGACUGAAGGGCUUUCUGUACUUGGUGUCUUCACACAUCGGUACUAGGUUGGGUCUGGCUGUGAGAAAGACCCUCGCAUGCUCCAUUAAGGAGCAAACCUGGGGAAUUCGAGCACCUCUGUCUUCUCAAAGGCCUCUCUUUUUCUCAGUACCCUCAGGUUUGGCCCAAGGCCUCGGAGUGCAGCUCCUUGGUCCACCUGUGCUUGUCCCUGCUUUUCUGGCCCACCAAAAAGUGCUCCUGACAGCCCUAACCACCUACUCUUCACCAAGGCUCUCUGGUCCUGUGUGGUCCAAAAGGCCGACUGCAGAUGCUCUUUUGAGUCCAGGGCCCUAAAGAAAGCAGUCCUACCUGGUGGGGGAUGACACUCUGGACCUGGAGUCUGAAGACCUCGUUUUCUGUCUCUGAGCUUCAGUUUUCUCAUCUAUGAAAUGGGAAUCAUAACACACGCUUGAUGUGACUCUCAGGGCUGCCCUAAGGAUACUGAAAAAUGGCGAAUGACGGCGUGCUUUGUACACAGUGGGUCGUCCAAGGGGAGCCAGAGAGUGCCUCUUUCUGGCAUGCCUGAGCCUCCGGAGCUGGAGAAGCCUCCUUUGGUCUCCUAGACUGCCUUUUCUCCUCCCAUCUGUCUCAACCUGCACAAAUCCUGCCGGGCUCUGCACAUUGCUCUGUGUUGACGGAUCCACCAUAUUAGCCUUGCCUGGCCCUUUCCUUCGUCCUUAGAAGACUCAUGACUCCAGCUGAGCUUAUGGGUGAACUCUUUCACAGCAGAAACUGCUUUGCCCUUCCUUCCCCAUGGGCCUUGUACCUGGUCAAGCCUGCAUCUUUCAGCUCUCUGGUCAUCCAGAGGGAAGUCUCACAUGAGUCUUGGUGAGAAUCUUCAACUUGGCCGUGCAAGUUUUCUGAUACUUUCAAUCCAGUUCAAGAUAAGAUACAUACAGCAGUCACACACCCUGAAUCUCAGAUUCUCAGAGAGUCGCCACUUGAUUUAGGAUCUGACACCAUGGGUAGAUAUUGGAAUUCCAGUCUUAGCCUGCAAGUCACACAAUGUCUUUGAGCUUCAGCUUCCAAGCCUGCAAGAUGGGGCGAUAAGAGUUUACCUCCUGGGAGUUAAGAGGAUUAAAUAAGUUAACAGUUAAGUAAAAGUACUCUGAAAUGUUAGCUUUUAUUUUCAUCCUUCCCUCCUUGUGUAAGAAAAUAAUGUAAAUAGCCUUUAUUGCUCUUAGUUUUUCUUGUAAAAGCUGUGGGAAGGUGAAAUAACCUCAUUGAAAUAGAGCCAUUCAUAAGUAGGGUAGAUCAUUAACCGCUAUGAGAUAGAUGAUUAUAUUCCAUCAGGUUCCAAGCCGACAGCACCCAUUUUACAGUUUGGAACUGUGAAGUAUUUGUACUGUGUGAUCCACAGCUCUUAAACUUUCCAAGACUUAGUCAGUCCUUAGGUUCCAGACAAACUUUCAUCCCACCUACACCCCCAACCUACUCUCAUCAGGGUUCCCAAUGACUGCCAUAUUGCCAAAUCUAAUGAUCACUUCUCUGCCUGUAUCUUACUCCGUCUCUCAACAGUAUUUGAAAGAAUUGAUGAUGCCCUCCUUAAAGCUCAUUCUCAUGUGGCUUAGAGGACAGACCUAGCCUCCUACACCACUGGUCAAUCCUGAACUUCCUUUGCUGCUUCUUCCUUUUUCUCCUACCAACCUUUUAUUUUUGUUUUAAUUUAAUUUACUUUUUUUUUUUUAAGAGGCAGGGUCUCACUCUGUCACCCAGGCUGAAGUGCAGUGGGGUGAUCACGGCUCGCUGCAGCCUCGAACUCCUGGGCUCAAGCAAUCAUAUUGCCUCAUCCUCCUGAGUAGCUGGGACUAUAGCAACAUACCACCAUGUUUGACUGUUUUUUUAAUUUUUAUUUUAGUGGAGAUGGGGUCUUGCUAUGUUGCCUAUGUUGGUCUCAAGCUUCUGGCCUCAAGUGAUCCUCCUGCCUCAGCCUCCCAAAGUCCUAGGAUUAUAGUAUGGACAACUGAACCUAGCCUCUUCCCAACCUCUUAAUACUACAGGGCCACAGGGCACUCUUGUCUUUUCUUCUUCUAUAUGCAUAUUCUAAGUCACCUCAUAUCACUCCAUAAUGUUCAUGUACUGGCUACUUGCAAAUUUCCUGCCCAACUUCAAGCUUUCUUCUAAAUAUCAGAUCCUGAUGACCGACUACCUCUUUGGACAUCUCUUAGGCAUCUGAGCCUUGCCAUAUAUAAAACCUAACUCUUGUUUUCUUUUCUCAAACCUGAUCUUUCCUCAGUCUUCCCCAUCUUAGCAAAUGAUCCUUGAUGUGGGCUUAGGGGAAAAAGAAGAACCAAGGAUGAUCAAAGCUUUUAGCCUGAGCAACCUAGAAUGUUCACAUGUGAUGCUCUUUUCCUAGGCCCUGUCAUUACCCCCCAUUAGAUGAAGGUGCAAAUGUGGAUAUGCAUACACAGAGGAACAUAGACUGUAUAUAGAUUUGUUAUUAUCCCUCCAUCUCCCCUACAAGGAAGUGAACUCCCUGAGAGCAGGACAUUUAUGUCAGGUCCUGAGAAACCACAGUGAACAAAAUGGACUGGCACAUAGUAAGAGCUCCUCAAAUAUGCCUUGAAUGACUCCCUGACCUUGUAGAACAAAAAUGCUUCCUGGGUCUACAGAAUGAGAAUAGGCCACAAGAGAAGCGGGAAUGAAACUUGGAAACUCAAGCAUGAGUGCAUUUUUAAGACGAGAGUGCAUUUUUAAGACACAUCUCUGGGCUGAGGCAACGCAUUUACACACAUGUACUGUUUUUACUGAAUUCUGAACCAGAGAGCUAGAUGGAUAGAUGAUAGAUAAUUAAAUUGGUUCCAAUGACAGAGAGCUAAAUGGAUGUUUGUUUUUAUCAUGCCAAAUGAUCAUGCUUAUUUUCUGAAAUUUUCACUUCACAACUGCUUGUUUUGGUGUCAGGUAGAUACAUUUAAGUUAUCAAAACUUGCCUGGGAGGAGUGAGAAAAGAGUGUGCUUCUUGUCUCUGCUAUCAGCAAAUAUAAGCCCACCAGGUGACAAGUCCCUGCCAAGUUCCAGGACAGCAUGGGGAGCUGUGUAUGAUGCACUCAUGGAGUCUAAAAUCAGGGGUUGAUCCCUCUGAAACAUCUUGCAACCAAAACUCCAUCUUGGCGUCUGCUUCCUUCUGAAGAACUCAACCUGGGACACAGUAAGAGGACAGAUCACCUACCUGUGAGGACCCCUGUGAUUCAG
rnacentral:lncRNA from 1 species